rnacentral:rRNA from 1 species
UACAGAGGUCCCAAGCGUUGUUCGGAUUCAUUGGGCGUAAAGGGUGUGUAGGUGGCGCCGUAAGUCGGGUGUGAAAUCUCGGGGCUUAACUCCGAAACUGCAUUCGAUACUGCGGUGCCUGAGGACUGGAGAGGAGACUGGAAUUCAUGGUGUAGCAGUGAAAUGCGUAGAGAUCAUGAGGAAGACCAGUGGCGAAGGCGGGUCUCUGGACAGUUCCUGACACUGAGACACGAAGGCCAGGGGAGCAAACGGG